CCUACGGGUGGCAGCAGUGAGGAAUAUUGGUCAAUGGGCGUAAGCCUGAACCAGCCAAGUCGCGUGAGGGAUGAAGGUUCUAUGGAUCGUAAACCUCUUUUAUAAGGGAAUAAAGUGUGGGACGUGUCCUGUUUUGUAUGUACCUUAUGAAUAAGGAUCGGCUAACUCCGUACCAGCAGCCGCGGUAAUACGGAGGAUCCGAGCGUUAUCCGGAUUUAUUGGGUUUAAAGGGUGCGUAGGCGGCCUUUUAAGUCAGCGGUGAAAGUCUGUGGCUCAACCAUAGAAUUGCCGGUGAAACUGGGAGGCUUGAGUAUGUUUGAGGCAGGAGGAAGGCGUGGUGUAGCGGUGAAAUGCUUAGAUAUCACGCAGAACCCCGAUUGCGAAGGCAGCCUGCCAAGCCAUGACUGACGCUGAUGCACGAAAGCGUGGGGAUCAAACAGGAUUAGAUACCCUGGUAGUC
rnacentral:rRNA from 1 species